rnacentral:lncRNA from 1 species
CCCAGGACUAGGGCUGCCUGCGUGGCGGCCGAGAACAGCGGGCCUUGGUGAGUGGGUCGAGUAUGGAAAGGGACGCGCUGUCACCUCCCUGAAUCCAAUGACGCGGGCCCGACCUCCGCUCGCACCUCUCACCCGAGUUUCCGCCGCGGUCCCUGCAGAUCCACGCCCCUCCGCGCACGUGCACCUUCCCAGAGGUUCCACCCGGGCUCCCCUAGUACUUGGUGCCGAACUCUUUCCUUGAACCCCUCCCUCUUUCUGAUCUGCGGGACUAUUCCCUGGUCUUUGGAAUCUCAGGCUGGAAAAGACCGAUUCUCCUAUUGGUUUAGCCCGUCGCAUGUAUGCAUUGGGCAGGAGUGACAGAUCUAGGGAGGUGAGGUUGGAAGAGCUGGAGGUCAGCAAUGACGCGUCCAGGCUGAAGGAACACAGCUUGGGAAGCCAGGGGACAAUGAAAUUGGAAGCUAAAUUGAGAAGGGGUCUGUAGAGGACAAGGCAGGAGACCAAGAGACGUUUGUGACCCACCACCUCCCCAGUGGUUUUCGUCUGCUGAGGACACCUGCUACAGAGCAGUUUCGUUACACUUCAGUGGCCUUUGUAGAGAGUGGGGGCUUCUGGGAUUGCCCUGUGAAUCAGGAAUCCGGGCAGGUGGCUGGGUUUUUGACUUGCUGCUUGAAGGAGCUUCAAGGGAGGAAGCAAAAAUGAUUGCAGGUUUUGUGGGGGGACCGCAGAGGAACCUAGGUGGGAUACAUAUACUAACCUCUUUGCCAUCCCUGGGCUCUUUCACCUGCCCUGUCUUUAUGGUUGGCCUUGGACUGGGACUUAUGUUGGGAAAUGUGUCCUUGGCCUCCUCAGCACUGCAGUCUGAGAGGAGACAGACAUCAGGAAUAGAAGCUGAGGGUUGAGCAUUGUUAGGACAGCCCCAUGGUAGUCCAGAGGAGAAGGUACCCACAUGGACGAUGUUGCCUGAGGUACACUUCCGGAAGUGGGAUCCUGGAGGAGCAGGCGAGCCUGCAGCCUCAGUUCUGGCUCUUUAACCAUGAACAAGUAGUGGCUCAGUUUCAGCCAGGUGUCUGGAUCCCGGCUGAGGAGACAGUGCAGAGGUGGCCUGGACAGCGUCUGCACCUUUCUGGCUCUAGGUGCUUUACUGCUAGACACCCGUGUUGGCUUCUGUGUUCUUGUAUUGACCUCCUGGCACAAAUUGACCCCACCCCCAGGUGUGACAUGUUCUAGAUCCCUCUUAGACCCAUUCAGGUCCCAGCA